rnacentral:rRNA from 1 species
UACGUAGGUGGCGAGCGUUGUCCGGAAUUACUGGGUGUAAAGGGCGUGUAGGCGGGACGGCAAGUCAGAUGUGAAAUACCUCGGCCUAACUGGGGUGCUGCAUCUGAAACUGUCGUUCUUGAGUGUCGGAGAGGAAAGUGGAAUUCCCAGUGUAGCGGUGAAAUGCGUAGAGAUUGGGGGGAACACCAGUGGCGAAGGCGGCUUUCUGGACGAUAACUGACGCUGAGGCUCGAAAGCGUGGGUAGCAAACAGGAUUAGAUACCCCGGUAGUCCCUGA